GACGAACGCUGGCGGCGUGCCUAAUACAUGCAAGUUGAGCGCUGAAGGUUGGUACUUGUACCAACUGGAUGAGCAGCGAACGGGUGAGUAACGCGUGGGGAAUCUGCCUUUGAGCGGGGGACAACAUUUGGAAACGAAUGCUAAUACCGCAUAAAAACUUUAAACACAAGUUUUAAGUUUGAAAGAUGCAAUUGCAUCACUCAAAGAUGAUCCCGCGUUGUAUUAGCUAGUUGGUGAGGUAAAGGCUCACCAAGGCGAUGAUACAUAGCCGACCUGAGAGGGUGAUCGGCCACAUUGGGACUGAGACACGGCCCAAACUCCUACGGGAGGCAGCAGUAGGGAAUCUUCGGCAAUGGACGAAAGUCUGACCGAGCAACGCCGCGUGAGUGAAGAAGGUUUUCGGAUCGUAAAACUCUGUUGGUAGAGAAGAACGUUGGUGUGGGUGGAAAGCUCAUCAAGUGACGGUAACUACCCAGAAAGGGACGGCUAGCUACGUG
rnacentral:rRNA from 1 species